CUACGGGGCGCUCCAGUGGGGAAUAUUGCACAAUGGAGGAAACUCUGAUGCAGCAACGCCGCGUGGAGGAUGACACUUUUCGGAGCGUAAACUCCUUUUAUAUAGAAAGAAGAUGACGGUACUAUAUGAAUAAGCGCCGGCUAACUCCGUGCCAGCAGCCGCGGUAAUACGGAGGGCGCAAGCGUUACUCGGAAUCACUGGGCGUAAGGAGCGUGUAGGCGGAUUAAAAAGUCAGAAGUGAAAUCCUAUAGCUUAACUAUAGAACUGCUUCUGAAACUCUUAAUCUAGAAUAUGGGAGAGGUAGAUGGAAUUUCUGGUGUAGGGGUAAAAUCCGUAGAGAUCAGAAGGAAUACCGAUUGCGAAGGCGAUCUACUAGAACAUUAUUGACGCUGAGACGCGAAAGCGUGGGGAGCAAACAGGAUUAGAUACCCUCGUAGUC
rnacentral:rRNA from 1 species